GGACUACUCGGGUAUCUAAUCCCGUUCGCUCCCCUGGCUUUCGCGCCUCAGCGUCAGGAAAGGUCCAGCACGUCGCUUUCGCCACCGGCGUUCCUUCCGAUAUCUACGCAUUUCACCGCUCCACCGGAAGUUCCACAUGCCCCUACCUCCCUCCAGACGACCAGUAUCGGAAGCUCUUUUCCAGUUGAGCUGAAAGAUUUCACCCCCGACUUGAUCGCCCGCCUACGCGCCCUUUAAGCCCAGUGAAUCCGAACAACGUUCGCACGGUUCGUCUUACCGCGGCUGCUGGCAC
rnacentral:rRNA from 1 species